rnacentral:misc_RNA from 1 species
GAUGAAGGACGUAGCGAAAUGCGAUACUUGGUGUGAAUUGCAGAAUCCCGUGAACCAUCGAGUCUUUGAACGCAAGUUGCGCCCGAAGCCAUUAGGCCGAGGGCACGUCUGCCUGGGCGUCACGCAUCGCGUCGCCCCCCUUCCCCGCGCUGAAUGCCGGGCGGUCGGGGGCGGACAUUGGCCUCCCGUGCACCUCCGUGCGCGGCUGGCCCAAAUGCGAUCCCCGGGCGACUGGCGUCACGACAAGUGGUGGUUGAACAUCUCAAUCUCUCUCGUCGUCGUGCCGUCCUGUCGUCAUUACGGGAAUAGUCAUAAACGACCCAACGGUGCCGGUGCUUAACUGCACCUCACCUUCGACCGCGACCCCAGGUCAGGCGGGAUUACCCGCUGAAUUUAAGCAUAUCAAUAAGCGGAGGA